rnacentral:rRNA from 1 species
AGUGAACGCUGGCGGCAGGCCUAAUACAUGCAAGUCGAACGGACGGACAGUAAGCUUUCGCCCCUAAGGGUGGCGAGUGGCGGAUGGGUGAGGAGUACAUAGGCUACCUUUUAUACUUGGGGAACUUCGUAAGGCCACUUCCGAUACCACAUCAUAUGUUCUACGGGUUAAUUCAGGGGAUAAUCGCACCUUGCCUGUCUCUUUGAGCCGAUGUCGGAUUAGCUAGUUGGUGUGGUAAAGGCACACCAAGGCAACGAUCCGUAGCUGACCUGAGAGGAUGAUCGGCCACACUGGAACUGAGACACGGUCCAGACUCCUACGGGAGGCAGCAGUGGGGAAUAUUGGGCAAUGGGCGCAAGCCUGACCGAGCCACACCGCGUGAGUGAAGAAGGUCUUCGGAUUGUAAAGCUCUGUUAUUAGGAAAGAAAAAAUGUGUAUGAAUACCCCGCUGUUCUGACGGUACCCAAAGAGUAAGCACCGGCUAACUACGUG